AGAGUUUGAUCCUGGCUCAGGAUGAACGCUAGCGGUAGGCUUAACACAUGCAAGUCGAGGGGCAGCACGGGUAGCAAUACUUGGUGGCGACCGGCGCACGGGUGAGUAACGCGUAUGCAACCUACCUUUUACAGGGGAAUAGCCCAGAGAAAUUUGGAUUAAUGCCCCAUAGUACUAUUGAAUCGCCUGUUUUGAUAGUUAAAGAUUUAUUGGUAAAAGAUGGGCAUGCGUGACAUUAGAUUGUUGAUGAGGUAACGGCUCACCAAGUCUGCGAUGUCUAGGGGUUCUGAGAGGAUGAUCCCCCACACUGGUACUGAGACACGGACCAGACUCCUACGGGAGGCAGCAGUGAGGAAUAUUGGUCAAUGGGCGCAAGCCUGAACCAGCCAUCCCGCGUGAAGGAUGACUGCCCUAUGGGUUGUAAACUUCUUUUCUGUACCAAGAAUAGUAGCUACGAGUAGUUAUUUGACGGUAGUACAAGAAUAAGCAUCGGCUAACUCCGUGCCAGCAGCCGCGGUAAUACGGAGGAUGCGAGCGUUAUCCGGAUUCAUUGGGUUUAAAGGGUGCGUAGGCGGCUUAUUAAGUCAGUGGUGAAAUCCUGCAGCUUAACUGUAGAACUGCCAUUGAUACUGAUAAGCUUGAAUUUAGUUGAGGUAGGCGGAAUGAGUAGUGUAGCGGUGAAAUGCUUAGAGAUUACUCAGAACACCAAUUGCGAAGGCAGCUUACUAAGCUAAAAUUGACGCUGAUGCACGAAAGCGUGGGUAGCGAACAGGAUUAGAUACCCUGGUUGUCCACGCCGUAAACGAUGUUCACUCGCUGUUUUGCGAUAUACCGUAAGCGGCCAAGCGAAAGCAUUAAGUGAACCACCUGGGGAGUACGUCGGCAACGGUGAAACUCAAAGGAAUUGACGGGGGCCCGCACAAGCGGAGGAACAUGUGGUUUAAUUCGAUGAUACGCGAGGAACCUUACCUGGGCUUAAAUGUAGAUUGCAUGACGUGGAAACACGCUUCCCUUCGGGGCUAUCUACAAGGUGCUGCAUGGUUGUCGUCAGCUCGUGCCGUGAGGUGUCGGGUUAAGUCCCAUAACGAGCGCAACCCCUAUCGUUAGUUGCCAUCAGGUUAAGCUGGGGACUCUAACGAGACUGCCACCGUAAGGUGAGAGGAAGGUGGGGAUGACGUCAAAUCAGCACGGCCCUUAUGUCCAGGGCUACACACGUGUUACAAUGGCCGGUACAAAGGGCAGCUACAUCGCGAGAUGAUGCUAAUCUCUAAAGCCGGUCUCAGUUCGGAUCGGAGUCUGCAACUCGACUCCGUGAAGUUGGAUUCGCUAGUAAUCGGAUAUCAGCCAUGAUCCGGUGAAUACGUUCCCGGGCCUUGUACACACCGCCCGUCAAACCAUGGAAGCUGGGGGGACCUGAAGUCUGUUACCGUAAGGAGCGGCCUAGGGUAAAACCGGUGACUGGGGUUAAGUCGUAACAAGGUA
rnacentral:rRNA from 1 species